UACGUAGGGGGCGAGCGUUGUCCGGAUUUAUUGGGCGUAAAGAGCGUGUAGGCGGUUCGGUAAGUCUACUGUGAAAUCCUGGGGCUCAACCCUGGGCGUGCAGCGGAUACUGCCGGGCUAGAGGAUGGUAGAGGCGAGUGGAACUCCGAGUGUAGCGGUGAAAUGCGCAGAUAUUCGGAGGAACACCAGUGGCGAAGGCGGCUCGCUGGGCCAUACCUGACGCUGAGGCGCGAAAGCGUGGGGAGCGAACAGG
rnacentral:rRNA from 1 species